UUGUUGUUGAUCUUGUUGUUUUGUUGUUGUUGUUGACCUUGUUGUUGAUCUUGUUGGUCUUGUUGUUGUUGUUGUUGCCAUGUUGUGCCAUUUCUGCUAGAACACAAUCCAAUGGUCCAUUAUUGUAAAAAAAAACUCUUCUAGCUGCAAUAUCAUGUAACUUGCUCUUGAAGCAUAAGGUGUUCUUCCCUUACUCUUCAAUAUGGAUCCUUGUAUACCAAGAGCUC
rnacentral:lncRNA from 1 species